UCACAAAUUCAAGGCCAUAGCAAAAGCGCUUGUGGCAUGGUCCUGUCAAAUUCUAAUGAAUCUGCAAAUUCUGCU
rnacentral:ribozyme from 1 species